UUUAGAGAUAGAGGCGUGCUCGAAAGAGAGCCGUAACACAGGUGCUGCAUGGCUGUCGUCAGCUCGUGUCGUGAGAUGUCGUUAAGUCCGCUAACGAGCGCAACCCUCGCUGUGUGUUAUAUGUGUCACACGGGACUGCCGGUCUUAAGCCGGAGGAAGGUGGGGAUGAUGUCAAGUCAGCAUGGCCUUUAUAUCCUGGGCUACACACACGCUACAAUGGCCAACACAAUAGGUUGCUAAGCCGCGAGGUGGCGCCAAUCCAUAAAGUUGGUCUCAGUUCAGAUUGUAGGCUGCAACCCGCCUGCAUGAAGAUGGAGUUGCUAGUAACCGCAGGUCAGCUAUACUGCGGUGAAUACGUUCCCGGGGCUU
rnacentral:rRNA from 1 species